rnacentral:lncRNA from 14 species
GUCUGCCUCCGUGCUGGGGCCUCAAUGGCUCCAGUGCUGGCAGCAGAGUCGGCAGCCACAGUGGCCUGGGGCUUGGCCACCACUGGCUUCUUGCUGCUGUUCCUGCUCCUCCUCUGCUCCUUCUUCCACAGGGCGAACCGGCCGGCUUCCACCCAGAAAACAAAAGAAAACCCUGAGCCUGUCCAAGGGGUGAAGCUGGCAAGGCUGAGCUCCAACAACAGGGGAGCAGCGCUGUCAGGAGACACCCCCUCUCCUGAUGAGCUGCAGGAUAAACCCACAGCAGGGGACCCCAGGCUGAACGUGCCAGACUGCACACCCAAUUCCCACACACUCUCCGAACCAGCCUUGAGGACUCCAGAGUUUCUGCGGCACCGGGAGCUGCCGGUUCUGCCCGGGAAUGCCAGCACAACCGUGGUGGAUCCUAUGCCAGAUCCCGAUGGACGAAUCUAUGAAAGCAUCCGGUACAAAUCUGAGACACAGAAAAAGCCUGGGAAUGCUGACAGCACCACGGGGGACUCCCCAUCUCUGCCCACCAAGGAUGAGCUGAGCAUUUCCAUGCAGGAGAUCAUCACCCAGGAGGAGCCGGGCAGCGAGGGGAGCCCUGUCCCUGUGUAUGCCCGGGUGUGCAAACAGCGCCGGCAGCCUGCCAGGCCCCCUGAGCCCCAAGAAGAAGAAGAAGCUCCAUCACUGCCGGAAAAGCGCUUUGAUGUGGGAUAG